AUCCAACUGACGAGUCCCAAAUAGGAUGGGACCCGCCUCCUGGAU
rnacentral:hammerhead_ribozyme from 1 species